rnacentral:lncRNA from 1 species
GAACAUGCUGUGUCCUCUGUCUACAUGGUCAGCGACCCAGAUGAACAAGUUUUCUUAGAACAAAUUUCCGUGUUACUUAUUAAGUUAUAUUAAAAGCUGUAUAUCUGUAAAACAUAUCACAUUUUUCUGUUUUACGAAAGAAACUUCUGUCUUAACCUUUAGUUAUUUAGUGAAUGAAGUAGACCAAGUUGAUUAUGAAGUCCUUUGAGGCUUCAGAAUAUUCACCCCUGCAGAUUCUCCCUGCUUUAAAAUUUUAGUGUAAUUUUUAUGUGAAAUAAUUGUAAUAGUUUUUAAUACUCUUUUUUUAGUGUCUGAAUUUUUACUGUCUUGCAGUUAGAAACGCUGCUGUUUCCUGUCAAAACCUAUGUUCAUCAGACUGAACAUGACAGUUUCCUGUUU